CUAAAAUUAAAACAACACAUUUACAGGCAUUUACGUUAGAAUUUCAAUGCCAUAAAAAGAGGUUGGUGCUUCAGAAUUGAAGAAAAGAACUCAAUUUGUAAACUUAAAAACAUACAAAAUGAACUUUUCGUCUCAAUUGGCCGUGCUUCAGAGCAGCCGAGAGCAAGCCAUGCGCUAUAAACAAGCGUUGUCGGCCGAACUCAAACCGACACUGGAGAAAAAAAAUUCGACCGAGUUCAGAACGAGAAGACAAGCGGCAAACGAGGCUAGCUUACGACGAAAUGUACGGAAAAUGGAAACGAGUCAUAAUAUGACGGUUAACAACCUGAAUAAGAAAAUCGAAGAAUUAAAUUAUGAGUAUGGAAAGAUGCGAAAGGAAAAGGCCCAAUUGUCCAAGCAGUCUCUUUCCCGAACACUCAGUCUCAGAUCUUCUGGCUAUUCGAAGGCGAGAGCGUGCGAGUCAAUUCAAGGCAUUCAGAAGAGAGAUAGAAAAAUUUGUUCACGCCGUUCUAGCGUGAUGGAAUCGGAGGUGUCAUUCGGAAUGGAAUGCUAUAGCGGAGACGACG